rnacentral:rRNA from 1 species
AUUGAACGCUGGCGGCAGGCCUAACACAUGCAAGUCGAACGAGUGGCGGACGGGUGAGUAAUGUCUGGGAAACUGCCUGAUGGAGGGGGAUAACUUCUGGAAACGGUAGCUAAUACCGCAUACCAUCGGAUGUGCCCAUAUGGGAUUAGCUAGGAGGUGGGGUAACGGCUCACCUAGGCGACGAUCCCUAGCUGGUCUGAGAGGAUGACCAGCCACACUGGAACUGAGACACGGUCCAGACUCCUACGGGACGCAGCAGUGGGGAAGAUUGCGAAAUGGGGGCAAGCCUGAUGCAGCCAUGCCGCGUGUGUGAAGAAGGCCUUCGGGUUGUAAAGUGCUUUCAGCGGGGACGCGUGGCCCACAGAAGAAGCCCCGGGUAACUCCGUGCCAGCCGCCGCGGUAAUAC